AUGAAAGAACUGAACAAGUGGAAUAGGUUACUGCUCACCCAGCGCUCAAACUCAAUCACGAGUGACAUCUCGUUGAGCAGUCUCGAAGACUGCGGGAGCGAUGCCGGGUGCAUCCUCGAGAGGCCAGACCAUAUGUUCUCUACCGAGGACUCCAGCAACUACGCCUCGGAGACGGAGUGGAGCGAAGCGCCCGAGGAGUCAGGCUUAGAGAGCAUCGGCUCAGACAUCAGUUGCACCAUGACUCAAAGAGUCCUUGGACCCGUUCGGGAAGAAGAACCGAUCGCGGACAAGCCCUCGAGCGUAGAGAAAGAGCAUAGCUCUGAGACUGAAAUGUCACACGUUUAUGAAACGAGGAAUGAAAGUGACAUGCCGGCACAGUUCGAGACAAGCCCCCGACUUACCAAACCAAGAGUUGAUAGACUAUCGAACAGCUACCAGUCUCGAGGAGAACCGCCAUCUUACGAAGAGGCGGUUCAACAGAGUAUAACAGGUGCACCGACCAAGUUUAACAGCCUCGUGCGCGAUAGGAAGAGGAUGUUCGAGAGGGAAACCCAGAACGGGGACUGCGGGAAGCAGGGUGGUGCUCAACGAGAUGGGGAGAUCAAGAGAAGCUUCUUCAUCAACAACCGGCGGAAGAUCUUCGAGCAGGUGGAAACCGGCGAGUUCAAGGGGUUUGCCGGUCUGGGAAACUUGAAACGGAAGAUGAGUGAAGAGUCCGCGAAGGGCGAAGACAAGAAGCUCGACACCUACCCGGACGAAGACUCGACACCAAGCUUGCAAAGCAUCUCCAGCGGGUCUGACUCGUCCGUGCUCAAGUCAGGAGAGGCCAACAUGAACGGUUAUGAUUUGCACUCGAUCUCUUCCUCGGAGGACAGUGAUGAGAGCGGUUUUGUCGAGUCCCUGACGGCCGACGAUCCUCUCAACAAAAACGACGACAAGUCCAGAGAUUUGCCCCAUCACCAACUGAUGAAGAGCUGUAUCCUUACGUCCAAGACGAGAUGUGUUGAAGUCUGA
rnacentral:lncRNA from 1 species